GCUGCUGCUGCAGCUGUUGCUGCUGCGGCACUCUGUGCUGCUGCAGCAGCAGCAGCAGCAGCAGCAGCAGCAGCAAGCGGGGGCCUGUCUAAGGUCAGCAGCAAAUAGUCAAUGCUGAUGCUGUUAUAUGCUGCAACAGC
rnacentral:snoRNA from 1 species